CCUACGGGAGGCAGCAGUGGGGAAUAUUGGACAAUGGGCGAAAGCCUGAUCCAGCAAUGCCGCGUGAGUGAUGAAGGCCUUAGGGUUGUAAAGCUCUUUUACCAGGGAUGAUAAUGACAGUACCUGGAGAAUAAGCUCCGGCUAACUCCGUGCCAGCAGCCGCGGUAAUACGGAGGGAGCUAGCGUUGUUCGGAAUUACUGGGCGUAAAGCGUACGUAGGCGGUUAUUCAAGUCAGAGGUGAAAGCCUGGAGCUCAACUCCAGAACUGCCUUUGAAACUAGAUAGCUAGAAUCUUGGAGAGGUGAGUGGAAUUCCGAGUGUAGAGGUGAAAUUCGUAGAUAUUCGGAAGAACACCAGUGGCGAAGGCGACUCACUGGACAAGUAUUGACGCUGAGGUACGAAAGCGUGGGGAGCAAACAGGAUUAGAUACCCUGGUAGUCCACGCCGUAAACGAUGAUAACUAGCUGUUCGGGCUCUACGAGCUUGAGUGGCGCAGCUAACGCAUUAAGUUAUCCGCCUGGGGAGUACGGUCGCAAGAUUAAAACCUUAAUGAAUUGACGG
rnacentral:rRNA from 1 species